rnacentral:rRNA from 1 species
UACGUAGGGUGCGAGCGUUAAUCGGAAUUACUGGGCGUAAAGCGUGCGCAGGCGGUGAUGUAAGACAGAUGUGAAAUCCCCGGGCUCAACCUGGGACCUGCAUUUGUGACUGCAUCGCUGGAGUGCGGCAGAGGGGAUGGAAUUCCGCGUGUAGCAGUGAAAUGCGUAGAUAUGCGGAGGAACACCGAUGGCGAAGGCAAUCCCCUGGGCCUGCACUGACGCUCAUGCACGAAAGCGUGGGGAGCAAACAGG